rnacentral:rRNA from 1 species
GACGAACGCUGGCGGCGUGCUUAACACAUGCAAGUCGAACGGAAAGGCCCUGCUUGCAGGGUACUCGAGUGGCGAACGGGUGAGUAACACGUGGGUGAUCUGCCCUGCACUUCGGGAUAAGCCUGGGAAACUGGGUCUAAUACCGGAUAGGAGCCAUUUUAGUGGUGAUGGUUGGAAAGUUUUUUCGGUGUAGGAUGAGCUCGCGGCCUAUCAGCUUGUUGGUGGGGUAAUGGCCUACCAAGGCGGCGACGGGUAGCCGGCCUGAGAGGGUGGACGGCCACAUUGGGACUGAGAUACGGCCCAGACUCCUACGGGAGGCAGCAGUGGGGAAUAUUGCACAAUGGGCGCAAGCCUGAUGCAGCGACGCCGCGUGGGGGAUGACGGCCUUCGGGUUGUAAACUCCUUUCGCUAGGGACGAAGCUUUUUGUGACGGUACCUAGAUAAGAAGCACCGGCUAACUACGUG